AGAUGGUCCUCUAAUCCCAAACGAUCCAGUCACCUACAACCCAAUUCCAUCUCAAAACCCGAAUCACAGCCUUACAUCUUCCUGCUCACUCGAUCAAGUAGCUAAAUUCGAGACCACAUCGAAAUUUAAAGUGCUCCAUCUAAUACAGGAUAAAAACCAGAAUAGUAUGUAAAGCGGCAAUUCUGGGGCGUACUCGUUUCAUCAGCGCGUUAACUCCACUGUCCACGGUCUUUGCCUUUUCCCACCAAGCAAAGCAACGAUGGCAGCCUGGUUGACUCCGACAAGUCAAAUACAGCUCCACUGAGAUAUAAUUAUUCCUUUUGUCACUUCACUGGGAGAGCAAAAAUGGGGUCCGAGCUUCAAGACCUGACUCACGCGCCUCCAGCCGAACCGCGACCCAGACCCGACCCAGAUGACAGUCCACUCCUCCUCAACCCAGAGACGAAAACCCCCAAACCUCAAAACCAAGUUCCGGUGGCUGAACAAAGUAUCGAGGAGAUGGAGAAGAAGUACGCCGCGUUUGUCCGGCAGGACGUGUACGGGACAAUGGGUCGUGGGGAUUUGCCGUGGGUUGAGAAAUUCUUACUUGGGCUGGCAUUGGUGUUUUUGGUGCCGGUUAGAGUGGUGGCGGGUAUGAGUAUUUUGGUAACUUAUUACGCGAUUUGUAGAGUUUGCACAGCUUUUCUAGCUCCGAACAGGGAGGAUGGACAGGAGGAUUACGCGCACAUGGGGGGGUGGCGAAGGGCGGUGAUUGUACAGAGCGGCAGAUUUCUGUCUAGGCUUUUGCUGUUUGUUUUUGGGUUCUACUGGAUUUCUGAAACCAGUAGGGGUAAUGAGGUUAACGGGCAGUUUAACAAUGAGACUGCAUCUUUGGAUCAAUCUGAACAGUUGGGAAGACCUGGGGCCAUCAUAUCAAAUCAUGUAUCAUAUUUAGAUAUUCUGUACCAUAUGUCUUCCUCUUUUCCGAGCUUUGUUGCUAAGAGAUCAGUGGCUAAACUUCCUCUUGUUGGUCUCAUAAGCAAGUGUCUCGGUUGUGUAUAUGUGCAGCGGGAGUUAAAAUCAUCGGACUUCAAGGGUGUCUCAGGUAUUGUCAAUGAAAGAAUUCGAGAAGCUCAUCAAAAUAAGUUUGCUCCAAAGAUGAUGCUUUUCCCAGAAGGCACAACCACAAAUGGAGACUACCUCCUUCCGUUCAAGACUGGUGCAUUUCUGGCGAAGGCUCCAGUACUUCCCAUCAUAUUAAGAUAUCCUUACCAGAGAUUUAGUCCUGCAUGGGACUCUAUUUCUGGGGCGCGCCAUGUGAUUCUUCUUCUCUGUCAGUUUGCAAAUUACAUGGAAGUGACGCGGUUACCUGUGUAUCGCCCCUCAGAACAGGAAAAGGAAGAUCCAAAGCUUUAUGCAGAAAAUGUUAGAAAGCUGAUGGCUCAGGAGGUGCCAAUUUUCUAAAACUUUUGGCUGUAAAUAUGCUCAAACUUAGGAAUCGAUAAGAGCCUUCUGGAAUCUUAAAAAGUUAACUGGGUAAUUUGAUCCUUUCCGAUAUCGGGCUGGCAGAGAAACGAGUCUAUCAUGCUGCUCUCAAUGGUUUGUUUUGUCAAAGAUAAUUGGGGUUCGCCAUGUGUAUAUCCCUCGUAUAUAUCUAUGUUUUUCGAACCCAAAAAAAAAAGUAAAAUGAAACGUGCAGAUAGAUACAUGGUGCUGGGGAAUCAUUGUUGUUAUCUAUAUGAUUAGAGAAUGCCUCUCUGGAUAUAGCGACUCUCACUUGUUCAAAUUUGUAUGGUAAUGCGUGGAACUGAUCUAAGCUGUGUCCUCAGCUUGCAGUAGAAAGUGGAGAAAUAUAGAAUUCGUCGUC